rnacentral:rRNA from 1 species
UGGGGAAUAUUGCACAAUGGGCGCAAGCCUGAUGCAGCCAUGCCGCGUGUGUGAAGAAGGCCUUCGGGUUGUAAAGCACUUUCAGCGAGGAGGAAGGUGGUGAGCUUAGUACGCUCAUCAAUUGACGUUACUCGCAGAAGAAGCACCGGCUAACUCCGUGCCAGCAGCCGCGGUAAUACGGAGGGUGCAAGCGUUAAUCGGAAUUACUGGGCGUAAAGCGCACGCAGGCGGUUUGUUAAGUCAGAUGUGAAAUCCCCGGGCUCAACCUGGGAACUGCAUUUGAAACUGGCAAGCUAGAGUCUCGUAGAGGGGGGUAGAAUUCCAGGUGUAGCGGUGAAAUGCGUAGAGAUCUGGAGGAAUACCGGUGGCGAAGGCGGCCCCCUGGACGAAGACUGANGCUCAGGUGCGAAAGCGUGGGGCAGCAAACAGGAUUAGAUACCCUGGU